GUGCCCUUUUAAGGUUGAUGCAGUGCCUUAGGAGGCUAACACAGGAGGGUAAAUAAAGUCAGUCUCCAUAAAACCUGAGACCAGAUGGUAAAACUCCUCUUUGGAUCCUGUCUGGAGUCACAGCU